AACGUUUAGGAUUACAAAAGAAACCGGUUCUCUUCACAUCCUUAUCCUUGUCAUGUAGCAUUCCGCUUGAAAUUGGAAGCCGUUCAAUGUCAGAGAGAAACCAUAUUUAUGAAAUGAAAGAGGCUUCUCAGAUGACUGCAAACCAGCCUUCCUUACUGGUUUUAUCACUGGAUUGUAGAAAAAUAUGCUGCCCCAGAAGAGAUGAUUGGACACUCUCCAGCGUGGUGUUGGACUUUGUCAUCUCUUGCACAGCCAUCUCCAGACCUUAGUGUUUACCUCACGUUAGUUUUUUAUAUUCUGCA
rnacentral:lncRNA from 1 species